GAUGAACGCUGGCGGCGUGCCUAAUACAUGCAAGUCGAGCGAACGGGCGCGGAGCUUGCUUCUCUGAUGUUAGCGGAGGGCGGGUGGGUAACACGUGUAUAACCUACCUGUCAGACUGGGAUAACUUCGGGAAACCGGCGCUAAUCCCGGAUAAUCUUUUGAACCACAUGGUUCAAAAGUGAAAGACGGUCUUGCUGUCACUUAUAGAUGGAUCCGCGCUGCAUUAGCUAGUCGUGAAGGUAACGGGUUAGCAAGGCAACGAUGCAUAGCCGACCUCUGAGGGUGAUCGGCGACCCGGGAACUUGGCCACGCUCCAGACGCCUACGGGAGGCAGCAGUAGGGAACCUUACGCAGUGGGCGGAAGCCUGACGGAGUAGCCCCGCGCGAGUUACGAAGGUCUUCGGAGCGUAAAACUCGGUUAUUGGGGAUGAACAGAUGUGUAAGGAACUGUGCACAGCGUGACGGUAACUAAUCAGAAAGCCCCGGCUAACUACGUG
rnacentral:rRNA from 1 species